rnacentral:lncRNA from 10 species
UUCCAUUGGAGUUUUUAUUUUCCAGCCCCUCCAGUUCCAAUUCUUGUGAGCAAACUUCCUACCAAACUGAGUGACUAUGUAAUAUUUAUCCUUGCAAAAUGCCCAGCAGCAAUAGGACCCAUGUCCUGCAGACCUUGCUUCUGUUCAGCAAUUUUUUCUUUGUCAAGGGCUUCAAUGCAUGCUUGAUUUCUCCUAUCAAGGGAGGCACAGUGGAUAGCACCUCCCUCCUCAAACUGAGAGGAUAUGGAGAGGUUGGUCCCAUGCCUGAGGCCAUGGUGCCCACUCAUGGUAGAGCAGGAGGAAAUGGGGGUCGUUCAACACUCAAGUCUGUUCACUCUCCAGGCUUUUAGGAAGAAGGAGGCCAGGCAGGGGUAUAACACCCUUCUGUGUGACGGUUUAAUUUUUGUGCAAAUAUCUGGACUCCUCUUAGUAUCCAAUUAGAUUAUUUAUGCUGUAAAACUUGAGAUAAUUGGCUAUCCUUUUGGUCUCAGAAGGGUUUCCUUUUAGAGUCAGAAGGUUUGUUGGAACCUCUAGGGAGGCAGAAAGUGCAGGCACCAGCAGAAGAAGUCAGCAAAAAGCUCCAAGGAGGUUUAUUUAAUGUCUCAUCAUCAUCAUCGUCAUCACAAUUAUUAUUAUUCAUUUUUUGCCUCUCUGGAAAGACGGGGCUCCAGUUUCCAUUGAGUGAAGCUUUAAGCUGGCUCAUAACCCACUUACUCUCUGCUCUUCUGCACUCCAAUCUGCUGAGAUGUCUGUAAAUCUGUGCCACCAACUAUGGUGUUCAGACAGUCUGAAGAUUAUUUCAACCAGACCAGAGAUUGAUUUUAGUUUCCCACAAGUAGAAACAAGCUCAAGUCAGCUCAGCAACUUACUUGACUUGGAGCCACUCUUUUUUGUUUAUUCCUCUUCUUUCCCGUUGCAAACUCCUAAUCUCUCUUGGCAUCAGGACUUGGUCUUUUGCUGUAGGAGCCACACCAAUGGAUACCACUCAACCAAAGUGACCCUGGGACAGAGCCAGUAUAAACACGGUCCCUCGUGAGUCAAGCGUCUGGGAUAAGUGAACAAACACUGGGCUGAAAACCUGGGACUGGCUGGUUGUUUAAGAGCUAUCACCUGCUCCUUCGUUCUCAUUGUAGCCCAGGGCUGGCUGGGUCAGGGGGUGCAUGUCUCAUCCAGAACCACACAGAGGCCAACAUUUUAUCAACGCUCACCAACCAAGAGAUCAACUGGGGAUGUAACAUGUCAGAAGGAAUCCAACCCAUAUUUCACAAGCAGGCGAGAGAGAGUGAAGUGGCUAAUGACCAACAUCUUUAGAGACAACUUGAGUAAUACAGAGCUGAUAAUUUUUUCCUGGGGUGAAAGACCUGCCAACAGCUGCUCUUGGAGAUAUUCCAAGGCUGGCCCAUCAGAGUGCAAAGAGCAAGUCAAGGAAAGAAACUGAGGGUAAUAAAUAUACCUUGGUCUUUUCAGGAUCCUUAUAGAAACAGGUUCACCUGCCAAAACAUGACACCUUCCAAUCUUAUUGUACUUGUCUGUGAUUAGAAGAAGGUCACCAAUUUGAUGCAUUGGCGAACAUGAGAGUAUAUGAUCAAAAGGAGAACAAGUGAGUGGGAUGAGGGUAGCCUUCCUGUCUUGCCCAGGUGGCAACGAUGACCUGCUAGGAAAUAUCUACAAGCUCUGAGAAAUUAGAGCAGAAGAAAUAAAAAUCAAG